AUGUGACCUCAAUAAGUAAAAUAACAAAUGAAAAAAAGAAAGGCAAACAGAGCUUCAGAGAGGGGAGAAGUUGGCCAUGAUCACAAGGGUGAGACAGGUUUCAACACCCGAAUUGUCUGCUCCUCAGCCCUGCUCUCCAAUCACUCUGUCCCCAGCAUGCAGCCCUCAGACUCCAAAGGCCAGGCCCUGGGCAUUUAGAGAUCAGUUUCAGCUGUGGACAUCUCUGUGGUGCACACUCUAGGUCCUAGGUGUCCCCCAGUGUUCUAGAGAUCUUUCACGUAUCCACGUCUCACUCUGCUAUUGGAAUCUCGCGUUCCAGAAUGAUAAUAAGGGUAAUUGCUAACACUCAGGGCCCUGGCUAAGCUCUAUAUAUUCACUGCCUCGAUGCCUUUGGCAGGUACUGUCCUUAUGCCUGCUUUCCACAUGAGGUGGGAGGGGUGAAAUAAUUUGCCAAAUGUCACACAGCUGAUAAGUAAGCAGAACUGGGACUUGAACUCAGCUUGACCGCAAAACCUCCAAUGCUGUCAACCACUGUGUUUCCAAGACUUGAGGAACAAGAAAAAGGGAAGUGGAAGAGAGAAGACAGAUGCUCAACACAUGAAGACAUCCUGACGGCUCUCAAGCAAGCCCAAGAACAGAAGAGAAACUUAGAGGAAUAGAGCAGAGCAUCUGCCAAGCCAGACUAUACAACACAAACAAGUUCCCAGAGAAAGAGUGUCAUUGUUUUCAAAAUGGCCACGUGUAAAAAUGGCUCCACAAACAAAAUGGCAGAAAGACCAACCCUUGUUGUUCGUCUAGUAAUGGCAAUUCCUCAGAGCCCUAACUGGCAUGACCAUGAGAACCAGCCUGUGCUGUGGCUUCUCACUAAGAAAAUUCAGAGAAAUGACCUUACCCGCCAGGUGCUGUGAAAGUCUUCAGUCCUUCCUCUGUGGUCUUCUGCGCUGGGCUGUGGUCCCCCGUGCACCCCGCUCCGAGCCCACUGGUUGGAUGCCUUUCCUCGGGGUCAGCCCCGGCUGCCGCUUCUCACUCCUCGCACAUUCUCAGGGUCAUCUUGCCGGAAGGGGAAGCCUGGCUGAAAGUCCCAUGCUGCUGACUCCAGCUCUCCACCGCCAACCCCGUGUUGCUCGAGCAUCUCUGACCCAUUGCUGAGUCCACAUCUCCACUCCUGGGUCUUGCAGGUUCCUCCAACUCAACAUGGCGGAGCCACCUCACCAUCUUCCACCCAGACCUGCGUCCCCCCAUCACCGUGACUGACACCCACCACCCACUUGCGGAAGCCAGACACCAGGAAACACUCCUGGCCCCUCCCGCCUCCUCCCCCCAGCAACUCUGUGCAUCAGUCUGAACAGCCUGUCAAGGCUGCCUCUGGAGUAUCUUCCCAUCCAGUCCCUCCGCCUCCAGCCUGUUCCGGGCCAUGUUACCUCCUGGCAUAGCCUCCUCUCUGGUCUCCCUUCUCCAGUCUUGUUCAUUCCACCCUGCAGCGGGAGGGGUCUCCCCGGACCACAGAGCCGAUUGUUAAAACCUUUCCAUGGCUCCCCACUGCCUAGGGAUGAAGCCCACUGUCCUCAAUGUGACCAGAAGGCCCUGCAUUAGCUUAGGGGGUCCAUCUCGAGACUCCCUAAGCAGAUUUUUUGUUCCCCAUCACAGCACUCAUUGUCUGAUUGCAUUUUCCUGAUACUUGUCAUCUCCUCUAGACUUGGAGCCCUCUAUGUGCUGGCCAUGCCACUAACGCCACCCCUAUGUCCCCAGAGUCUCUCACAAUGCCUGGCACAAGGCAGGCACUCAAUAAAUGUUGUCAAACAAAUA